GACGAACGCUGGCGGCGUGCUUAACACAUGCAAGUCGAACGGAAAGGCCUGCUUUCCCUUGUGGAUUGCGGGUACUCGAGUGGCGAACGGGUGAGUAACACGUGAGUGAUCUUCCCCCAACUUGGGUAUAAGCCUGGGAAACUGGGUCUAAUUCCCGAUAGGACUGCAGGGUGGUGCCUGUGGUGGAAAACGAUUUUCUAGUGGUUGGGGAUGAGCUCGCGGCCUAUCAGCUUGUUGGUGGGGUAAUGGCCUACCAAGGCGGCGACGGGUAGCCGGCCUGAGAGGGUGGACGGCCACAUUGGGACUGAGAUACGGCCCAGACUGCUACGAGAGGCAGCAGUGGGGAAUAUGGCACAAUGGGCGGAAGCCUGAUGCAGCGACGCCGCGUGGGGGAUGACGGCCUUCGGGUUGUAAACUCCUUUCGACCGCGAGGAAGCCACCUGGUUGGAAGGGUGGUGACGGUAGUGGUAGAAGAAGCACCGGCUAACUACGUG
rnacentral:rRNA from 1 species